rnacentral:piRNA from 1 species
GUAUGUAUGAGACCUGCAGACCUUACC